rnacentral:tRNA from 1 species
GGGGAUUUAGCUCAGUGGUAGAGCACUUGCCUAGCAAGUACAAGGCCCUGGGUUCGGUCCUCAGCCCCG